CCAGAAGAGGCGCGUUGUUCAGGGACCCGGUAAGAGGAUGACAGUAUCCGUCGACUACCGGCGAGGGGGUACAACGCCGAGGCUGCUAUUACUCUGUCGCAAUAGCAGUCGGCUGCGAGGGCUGAAUCCCUCGGGCUGUCACCUGAGGGUGAAGUGCUUCUGG
rnacentral:ncRNA from 1 species